rnacentral:tRNA from 1 species
GAGGGUAUAGCUCAAGUGGUAGAGCAGAUGCUUAGCAUGCAGGAGGUCCUGGGUUCACUUCCCAGUGCCCGCU